rnacentral:rRNA from 1 species
UACAGAGGUGGCAAGCGUUGUUCGGAAUUACUGGGCGUAAAGGGCGCGUAGGCGGCCUCGCAAGUCCCGUGUGAAAUCCCUCGGCCCAACCGAGGAACUGCCUUUGAUACUGCCUCGCUUGAGGCCGGGAGAGGGUAGCGGAAUUCCCAGUGUAGCGGUGAAAUGCGUAGAUAUUGGGAGGAACACCAGUGGCGAAGGCGGCUACCUGGACCGGUUCUGACGCUGAUGCGCGAAAGCGUGGGGAGCAAACAGG